rnacentral:rRNA from 1 species
CACCCAUGUCUUUUGCGUACUUGUUGUUUCCUGGGCGGGUUCGCCCGCCACCAGGACCACACCAUAAACCUUUUUUUAUGUAGUUGCAAUCAGCGUCAGUAUAACAAAUGUUAAAUCAUUUACAACUUUCAACAACGGAUCUCUUGGUUCUGGCAUCGAUGAAGAACGCAGCGAAAUGCGAUACGUAGUGUGAAUUGCAGAAUUCAGUGAAUCAUCGAAUCUUUGAACGCACAUUGCGCCCUUUGGUAUUCCAAAGGGCAUGCCUGUUCGAGCGUCAUUUGUACCCUCAAGCUUUGCUUGGUGUUGGGCGUUUUUUUUUGUCUUGCCUUGCCGCGAGACUCGCCUUAAAACGAUUGGCAGCCGGCCUACUGGUUUCGGAGCGCAGCACAUUUUUUGCGCUUACAACCAGCUAAAGAGGUCAGCAAUCCAUCAAGUCCAUUUCUCACUUUUGACCUCGGAUCAGGUAGGGAUACCCGCUGAACUUAAGCAUAUCAAUAAG